CCUACGGGGGGCAGCAGUGGGGAAUAUUGGACAAUGGGGGCAACCCUGAUCCAGCCAUGCCGCGUGUGUGAAGAAGGCCCUCGGUUUGUAAAGCACUUUCAGUGAGGAAGAACGCCUGGUGGUUAAUACCCAUCAGGAAAGACAUCACUCACAGAAGAAGCACCGGCUAACUCCGUGCCAGCAGCCGCGGUAAUACGGAGGGUGCGAGCGUUAAUCGGAAUUACUGGGCGUAAAGCGCGCGUAGGUGGCUUGAUAAGCCGGUUGUGAAAGCCCCGGGCUCAACCUGGGAACGGCAUCCGGAACUGUCAAGCUAGAGUGCAGGAGAGGAAGGUAGAAUUCCCGGUGUAGCGGUGAAAUGCGUAGAGAUCGGGAGGAAUACCAGUGGCGAAGGCGGCCUUCUGGACUGACACUGACACUGAGGUGCGAAAGCGUGGGUAGCAAACAGGAUUAGAUACCCCAGUAGUC
rnacentral:rRNA from 1 species